rnacentral:rRNA from 1 species
AGACCGAUAGCGAACAAGUAGAGUGAUCGAAAGAUGAAAAGCACUUUGGAAAGAGAGUCAAAAAGCACGUGAAAUUGUUGAAAGGGAAGCGCUUGCAGCCAGACUUGCUUGCAGUUGCUCAUCCGGGCGUUCGCCCGGUGCACUCUUCUGUAGGCAGGCCAGCAUCAGUUUGGGCGGUUGGAUAAAGGCCUCUGUCAUGUAUCUUCUCCGGAAGACCUUAUAGGGGAGGCGUAAUGCAACCAGCCUGGACUGAGGUCCGCGCAUCUGCUAGGAUGCUGGCGUAAUGGCUGUAAGCGGCCCGUCUUGAAACACGGACCAAG